GACACUGAGCAGGGUAAAUUCUUUACAGCCUUGGAAACUGCCCAGAAACUUGUAGAUUAGAAGCCAUAGGUAUUAGGGAACCAUUAUGGAUUCUGAACUCAAAGAGUUGCGUGGUACUUAAGGAAGACUACUCUGGCAGAGCUCUGCAGGUCAAGGACCGUGAUUUCAUGCUACAUUGAAGGCACACAACGAAGGCAUGGGGCAGCAGCUGAACACAAACCACUGAGGGAACCAUUGUCUUUUUCUCCAGAAUAACCAAACAAGCCUGAAACUAUGAUGAAAAUGUAUGGUACCUCCUGGGCUGAUGUAGCACAUGCAGCUGCCCCAGAUCAGACAUUAAGAGUGGGUACUAACUUUCAGAUCCUGGGAUAAAUACCCACAUAGAAGAAAUAAUGUCUGUGCUGAUAUCAGACCCCGCUGGGGGGCAUCUUCUUGACUCCUUCACAAGAUCACAAGUUCGCAUAUGAGUGAGUGCCCAGCAGGUCAGAGAAACACUGGGACAGAGCAUGAGAGAUUCCUGAUGAAGUUGAGACACAAUAGUGCUACAGGUCACACCUGUGGGAAGGUAUAUUGUCAGGUCACCCCUGGCUGUUACAAAAAUAACUGGAGUUAAAAGGGGGCCAGGGGGAUGUGAUGUGGGGCAUGAGAUGUGUCCAGUACACCCUCAGCUUGAAAUACUACAGAUGCAGUCUUACACAAGUAGAAAGUAGGUGAGAAGGAAAGAGAAACAGGGAAGAGGUGUGGUGGAUUCCCGUCACUCCCUGAUCUUCACUUGAACUUCAGGGUGUUUGUCUCACCUCCUCUAUUUAAAGUGAUGAUUAGCAGCUGUCUGUCCACAACCUAACUUUCCUCUCUCCAUCAUGACCUCCUAUGGUUCAAGCUUGAUGACUCAGUUUCUUCCACAGGAGCCCUCCUUCCACGAUAUCAGGAUGUCUGGGUCAUUGCUGUCUCUACUCCCUAUGCACCCGUCAGCUUCCUCCUGCCCUCGUUUUUCUCCCAAAACUAGUAUAGAACUUAUCAUUCAUAAUUUUAGUCACUCUCUUAAGACAGUUCUAGAUUCUUGCUUCUUAGCACUUCUACACCAUUUAUCUGAUAAAACUCCAGCUCCGGUGAAAUCAAUGAAAUCAGCUUUCAGGUUUUUCCAUGGCCGUAUCCUGAGAUGCCCUACUGGGGAGCAAAAAAUACACGACAGAGCAGAUCACUGUGGCGGACUACCAACUCCAUACGCUAAUACAUAAUUUUUAAUAAUAGCACCCUGAUGUCUGGUUGGGCACAUUGCUGCCAGGAAUAAAAGACUGUGUUUCUUAGUGGCCUUUGUGUGCAUGUGUGCUCACAUGACUUCAUCCCAGCAAAUGAGGAAGAAUGUCUGGUGGUUGGUGCAGGAAAGCUUCAAGACAGUUGAUUCAGCAGAAGAGCUCCCCUUCUUGCCUUCUGUUGCGGUUGCUGCAGCCAUCAUGAACCAUGAGGUGACCUUGAGGAUGGACGCUGCAAGCCAAGAUGCACAA